CCACAAUAUGAAGUAUAUACUGUUGACAAAGCAUCACUAUCAACUGAACUCCGCUCAGAAUCGUUUAUAGUAAACAAUAGUUAACCAUUACUCACAGAAACAAAUUAAUUCCUGUCUAUAUCAUACUAUCCCAACUUCUCACCAAACACACCGACUACACCCAUCGUGUGAAGUAGGUCCACUUUUUUUUGUUUUAAAAUUAUUUAUAUUACAGUGUGAAGAUUUGAUUUUCAAAUUUUUAUUUUAUUUAAAAUUGUAAUAAAUAAAAUAUUAUGAGAUUAAUAUACUUAUUUAUACUUUUAAAAUUAUGAAAGUUUAAUAAAAUUAUUAUAAUAUUACUAUGUUUAAAUAAUUUUGAAAUGUGUAAUACAUGAACAGCAGUAUUUCAAACUAGAAAUACACAUUUUAGAUAGAUAGUUAUAGUAUACAAAUUUGCAAAUUUUUACUUUUUCCUUAACUAUUUAGAUAUUGGGUAUAUUUUAUUUUUCUACUGUUAAGAGCCUUAAAAAUAUUUGCCCAGGCAUCUGAAAGUCUAAAUCUGGCCCUGAUAGUGCCCUAACAUAAUUAGGCAAAGCAAAUUGAGAAAAUUAAAAUAAAUAUUAAUAAUAAAAAUAUUAAAAUAAACCUUAAAGUGCUUUGUAAAUAACGUUAGACAGUAUUUUAUAUCAAGUGCUUCCAUUGAAAAUUGCACUAGUUAUAACCCAGUUAAGUAUUUUAUUGACUUGUGGUGGGCAGCAGUUUUAAUUAAAUAUAAAUUAGUAGAUUUUCUAAUCUACUAAUUUGCUCCAAAAUUUGUAAAACAUGAUCAGAAAUUAUGAAACUUAGUAAAUGUGAUGAAUUCUAUCGUAUUUUAAUAACCUAUUAGUUUUGAGUAGUAGUACAGUACUACCUACUAUUAAGCUAAACUAGUCCAUGGCUCUAGUUCAGCAAAUAGACUGACACUUUAACUUGUAACUUAUAUAACCAUCUAAAUCUUGGUAUUAUAAGAGUUCAAG